rnacentral:rRNA from 1 species
UACGUAGGGUGCGAGCGUUAAUCGGCAUUACUGGGCGUAAAGCGUGCGCAGGCGGUUUUGUAAGCCAGAUGUGAAAUCCCCGGGCUUAACCUGGGAAUGGCAUUUGGGACUGCAAGGCUUGAGUUUGGCAGAGGAGACUGGAAUUCCUGGUGUAGCAGUGAAAUGCGUAGAUAUCAGGAGGAAUACCGAUGGCGAAGGCAGGUCUCUGGGCUAGAACUGACGCUCAUGCACGAAAGCGUGGGGAGCAAACAGG